rnacentral:rRNA from 1 species
UACGUAGGGGGCAAGCGUUGUCCGGAUUUAUUGGGCGUAAAGAGCGUGUAGGCGGCUAGGUAGGUCCGUUGUGAAAACUCGAGGCUCAACCUCGAGACGCCGAUGGAAACCAUCUAGCUAGAGUCCGGAAGAGGAGAGUGGAAUUCCUGGUGUAGCGGUGAAAUGCGCAGAUAUCAGGAGGAACACCAAUGGCGAAGGCAGCUCGCUGGGACGUGACUGACGCUGAGACGCGAAAGCGUGGGGAGCAAACAGG